UACGUAGGCAGCAAGCGUUGUUCGGAAUUACUGGGCGUAAAGCGUGUGUAGGCGGUGUCAUAAGUUUGGUGUGAAAUCUCCCGGCUUAACUGGGAGGGUGCGCCGAAGACUGUGAUGCUUGAGUGUGGGAGAGGUAAGCGGAAUUCCUGGUGUAGCGGUGAAAUGCGUAAAUAUCAGGAGGAACACCUGUGGUGUAGACGGCUUACUGGACCACGACUGACGCUGAGACACGAAAGUGUGGGGAGCAAACAGG
rnacentral:rRNA from 1 species